AAUCAACGCUGGCGGCGUGCCUAACACAUGCAAGUCGAGCGAGAAAGUGUAGCAAUACAUGAGUACAGCGGCGCACGGGUGAGUAACACGUGGGUAAUCUGCCCUUGAGUGGGGAAUAACACCGGGAAACCGGUGCUAAUACCGCAUACGAUCACGAUGUCUUCGGAUGUUGUGAUGAAAGGAGCAAUUCGCUCUUGGAGGAGCCCGCGGCGGAUUAGCUAGUUGGUAAGGUAACGGCUAACCAAGGCAACGAUCAGUAGCCGGUCUGAGAGGACGGUCGGCCACACUGGAACUGAGACACGGUCCAGACUCCUACGGGAGGCAGCAGUGGGGAAUUUUUCGCAAUGGGGGCAACCCUGACGAAGCAACACCGCGUGGGUGAUGAAGUCUCUUGGGACGUAAAACCCUUUCGACGGGGAAGAAACCGCAAGGUUGACGGUACCCGUAGAAGAAGCCCCGGCUAACUCCGUGCCAGCCGCCGCCGUAAGAC
rnacentral:rRNA from 1 species